UUAAAUUGAAGAGUUUGAUCAUGGCUCAGAUUGAACGCUGGCGGCAGGCCUAACACAUGCAAGUCGAACGGUAGCACAGAGAGCUUGCUCUCGGGUGACGAGUGGCGGACGGGUGAGUAAUGUCUGGGAAACUGCCUGAUGGAGGGGGAUAACUACUGGAAACGGUGGCUAAUACCGCAUAACGUCGCAAGACCAAAGAGGGGGACCUUCGGGCCUCUUGCCAUCAGAUGUGCCCAGAUGGGAUUAGCUUGUUGGUGAGGUAACGGCUCACCAAGGCGACGAUCCCUAG
rnacentral:rRNA from 1 species